rnacentral:rRNA from 1 species
GAUGAACGCUGGCGGGCGUGCUUAACACAUGCAAGUCGAGCGAGAAGCUUUCAAACGACACUUCGGUUGACUUUGGAAGUGGAAAGCGGCGGACGGGUGAGUAACGCGUAGGCAAUCUGCCCUUCACAGAGGGAUAGCAACGGGAAACCGUUAUUAAAACCUCAUGACACCAAAAAUUCACAUGUAUAUUUGGUCAAAGAUUAUAUCGGUGAUGGAUGAGCCUGCGUCUGAUUAGUUAGUUGGUGGGGUAACGGCUCACCAAGGCAACGAUCAGUAGCCGACCUGAGAGGGUGAUCGGCCACAUUGGAACUGAGACACGGUCCAAACUCCUACGGGAGGCAGCAGUGGGGAAUAUUGCACAAUGGGCGCAAGCCUGAUGCAGCAACGCCGCGUGAACGAUGAAGGCCCUUGGGUCGUAAAGUUCUGUCCUUGGGGAAGAUAAUGACGGUACCCUUGGAGGAAGCCCCGGCUAAUUACGUG